CGGACGGGUGAGUAACGCGUGAGAAUCUGGCUUCAGGUCUGGGACAACCACUGGAAACGGUGGCUAAUACCGGAUGUGCCCUUAGGGGUGAAAGGUUAACUGCCUGAAGAUGAGCUCGCGUCUGAUUAGCUAGUAGGUGUGGUAAGAGCGCACCUAGGCGACGAUCAGUAGCUGGUCUGAGAGGACGAUCAGCCACACUGGGACUGAGACACGGCCCAGACUCCUACGGGAGGCAGCAGUGGGGAAUUUUCCGCAAUGGGCGAAAGCCUGACGGAGCAAGACCGCGUGAGGGAGGAAGGCUCUUGGGUCGUAAACCUCUUUUCUAUGGGAAUAAGAAAGUGAAGGUACCAUAGGAAUCAGCAUCGGCUAACUCCGUGCCAGCAGCCGCGGUAAUACGGAGGAUGCAAGCGUUAUCCGGAAUGAUUGGGCGUAAAGAGUCCGUAGGUGGUUAUUCAAGUCGAUUGUUAAAGAGCGGGGCUUAACCCCGUAGAAGCAGUGGAAACUGAAUAACUAGAGAGAGGUAGGGGUAGAGGGAAUUCCCGGUGUAGCGGUGAAAUGCGUAGAGAUCGGGAAGAACACCAGUGGCGAAAGCGCUCUACUGGACCUCAUCUGACACUGAGGGACGAAAGCUAGGGGAGCGAAUGGGAUUAGAUACCCCAGUAGUC
rnacentral:rRNA from 1 species